rnacentral:lncRNA from 1 species
CAGAAGAGAGACAGCCCCUCAUUGGAUCAAGAAGUACAAGGAAUCCCCACUUACAGUAUGGCCCAAGUCUUACAGCCUCAGACUUCUGAGAACGAAAUUUUAAAAAACGGCAGUUUAAGUUAUGAAAAGAGGGACGUUGUCAGUCAGAGUCUAUUGGGAUAGGCCUCUUUGCACAUCUUCAUUGAGAAUUUCUAGAGGCCCUUCUGCCUGGAACCAAGAAGGGAGAAAGCUUGACAGCACUGAAUUGAGCAUCUUUUGUGGCCUGUGCUUCUCCCCACCCAGCACCCCCUCCCCCUUGCCCUUGUCUCUCAUGUAGCACAGGCAAACCUUGAGCUCCUUAUACAACAGACGGUGACCUUGAACUCCCACUUGCCCUUGUCUCUCAUGUAG